CUUCACGUCAUUCCCAGGUGCCCUCAGCUCUAGUGUUGCCUCUGAUUCCCUGCUCUCCUAUCAUCCCACCAACGCUCAUCCCAUCACAGACCCAUGAGUGCAGCAGUGUCCUCUCUGGUCCUCCCUGUCUCCAGUGGUGAAGUUGGGGAAGGGUGGCCCCAGGUCACGUGGUACUGCAUCAGGAUGAGGCCUGAACUGGGAGAGAGUCAGCUGUGCACAUCUUCCUUUUUCUGCCCUGAUCCUGAGAGCUGAGGGGGCAUCAACCAGGGAGAGACCUGUGCAUGGAAUUCCUUCCUAAAGUGCACAGUAUGGAAAGAGGGGGCAGUAACUUUGCAGUGGAGAAAACGGACAAGCACUACCUUAGCCAGGCGAUCAAGGUCAACGUCAACAGUCAUACAUCUAGUUAAUAACAAUGAACCUGUAUAAUUUCAUCUGUUGUAACGAAUAUCCCCGAUUGAGAUUGGAAAACAGCUCCAGAGGAAGGAUAUCGUUUGUUUGAGGUCACCCGGUUUGCGAAGAUGAAGUCAGAAUUUAGAGCCCAUGUUGUUCACUGAUGAGUUACGUCACUAACCACGUUCCAAAGUGAUGCUAGAUGGAAAGAAUGCUGGUGCUUCAGAGUCCUGGGGCAACCUUGAGAAGCUGCAGAGGAGUGGAUGACCACGAGCUGGGGCUUG
rnacentral:lncRNA from 1 species